AUUGAACGCUAGCGGCAUGCUUUACACAUGCAAGUCGAACGAGCGGCGGACGGGUGAGUAAUAUAUCGGAACGUGCCCAGUAGCGGGGGAUAACUACUCGAAACAGUGGCUAAUACCGCAUACUAUCGGUUCGGCCGAUAUGGGAUUAGCUCGUUGGUGGGGUAAAGGCUCACCAAGGCGACGAUCCGUAGCUGGUUUGAGAGGAUGACCAGCCACACUGGAAAUGAGACACGGCCCAGACUCCUACGGGAGGCAGCAGGGGGGAAUAUUGGACAAUGGGGGAAAGCCUGAUCCAGCCAUGCCGCGUGUAUGAGAAGGCCUUCGGGUUGUAAAGUACUUUAAGCGGGGAGGCGUUAUCUGCAGAAUAAGCACCGGCUAACUACGUGCCAGCAGCCGCGGUAAUAC
rnacentral:rRNA from 1 species